UACGUAGGGUGCAAGCGUUGUCCGGAAUUAUUGGGCGUAAAGAGCUCGUAGGCGGUUUGUUGCGUCGGCUGUGAAAACCCGGGGCUCAACCCCGGACCUGCAGCCGAUACGGGCAGACUAGAGUUCGGCAGGGGAGACUGGAAUUCCUGGUGUAGAGGUGAAAUUCGUAGAUAUCGGGAGGAACACCAGUGGCGAAGGCGGCGACCUGGGCCAAUACUGACACUGAGGUGCGAAAGCGUGGGGAGCAAACAGG
rnacentral:rRNA from 1 species